rnacentral:rRNA from 1 species
AUACGGAGGGUGCAAGCGUUAUCCGGAUUCAUUGGGUUUAAAGGGUGCGCAGGCGGAUAUUUAAGUCAGUGGUGAAAUCCCGGGGCUCAACCUCGGAACUGCCAUUGAUACUGAAUAUCUCGAAUACGGUUGAAGUGGGCGGAAUGUAGCAUGUAGCGGUGAAAUGCAUAGAGAUGCUACAGAACACCGAUCGCGAAGGCAGCUCACUAAGCCGAUAUUGACGCUCAGGCACGAAAGCGUGGGGAGCGAACAGGAUUAGAAACCCUAGUAGUCC